AGCCGUCAUUGUGCUAGGUACAGUGUGUGGAUCCAUAAUUUUGGUUCUGAGUGUGGUAUUAUUUUGUAUUAUACAGAACAAAAUCAAGUAAGUAUUAACUCAGAUUCUGAAUAAAGAUAAGAUAUAGCUUUUAGUUUUGAUCAGCGUUUAAAAAAUACCAUUCGAAAAUUUCUGAUAAAAUUCACUGUAGUAACUCGCUGUAACUUAAUGAUUUAGGAUUAUUUACCCUUGUGUUGAUUCAAUGCAUAACAUUUGACAACUUUAUAGAAAAUCCAAAGCCUUUCCCUUGUAUUCUCAUAUUAUGAAAUGUGGUGCUUGACAGAUAGAAGACUAUUGCAAGCAGUGCUAGCAAUUAUCUACUUAUUUUUUUUUUAUCAAUUUAGAUAUUGGUUAAAACAAAUAUUAAAAUGGACAAAUUCAAGUACACUUUCUAUGGUGCGCUAAACUUGAGUGACACAGCACGAGUUUUUUUUUAAACUAAAGGUUGAUUAGGACUUUUGGUAAACAAUAAAUUAUACCAGAUAAUAGAAUAACAAGUGAGUAAUCUAUGUUUAAAACUUUAUAAAAAGAAUCUUUUUUUUUAGCCUGUGGAUUUUCUACUAAAAUCUUGAUUGUAUUUGCCAUGAAAAAAAUAAUGCUUUGCACAAAGUUUCCCCGUGGUAUAUGCACAAAAUGGCACAUCUCUAUUAUUCAUUAUUUUUCCUGUUUUGAUACUAUUCCGUAGCUCACAUGCCUACAGAAGAGGUCAUCAAGCUUUCAAAAGUUCUGUAAUAUGAUGUUUUUCUUAACGGUUCUGAUUGGCAACGCAAAUUAAACUCGUUAUAACAUUUUUGGGUGAAUUACGGACAAAAGAUACUCUCUUGUGUUUACAUUUUUUAUGAUAGACGCUCAUUUUGGUCUCGCAAGACUCAUCAAUGGCACUUAAAUCAAAACCCUAAACUUUUAUUUCGUAUAAUAUGAUAAAAAAAAAAAAGAUUCCUGAUUUCUACUCGUAAAGGAGAAGGUUUUAUUCCACAGAUGUUUCAAAGACAAUAAUGGUCUGUGUAAGACAUCAAGGUUUAUCUUUUUGAAUUUUCCUGUUACAGAUUUACAUUUAUAGCAACCAUCCUAAGGAGUGCCACAAUACCUUCAUUUUGAGAACUUGUCAUUUAUUUAUACGCGCAUUUGGCGUAUAUAAUUGUUAUCCUAAUAGCUAUACUGAUUUUAUUUAUAAAUAUGAACGGAGGUUUUUCCUCAAAGUGUUUGUUUGGCUACAGGAUGCAUUCUGCAAUGAUAUAAAUAUGUGUAUAAUAUUUUUAAUGUGCAAUUCUAGACACAAUAUAGUAUAACAGAAAUUAUCUUCCUCGAUUUAAUUCAAAGUACACGAGUUUUUGUAAUAUAAUAAUUUUGAAGCUGCGAAAGCAGCGUAUCUCAAUUCUGAAGGUGUACCUGUUGUUUCAAAAACGCUGUUAAAAUGAAAGUUCAAUAAUUUGAGGUAUGUUGCCUUUCACACAGUUUUUGUUAUUCAAAAAUAUCAACAAGAAUAUGUAAUAUAAUAAUGUGCGAAAUGUUUAUAAGAGUGAAAAGGGUACGAAUGUCAAAGUCAAAUGUUCUUUCUGUGAGUAAAGGUCGUUAGUUUAUGUCAUUUUAGUAACCUACACAUUUUUUAUAACGUCUAGGUCUCUUCGUACGAGGAACCUCAAUGACAUAUCAUUAGAUUAUGUAAACGCGAUACAGCAACAAGAUCUGUCGUUGUAUGAAUCAGUUGGCCAUGCUUUAGAGGUACAUCACUAUGAACAACCUUCAACCGGGGAACAUCAAUACACAAAUACCAACUUAAGCGGUAAUUGAACAAAGACACCUGGUGAUAACAGCUUACAUUUGUGUGAAUUGUGUAAAUAUGUAUAUGAGUAACGGUUUCAUAAAUGUUUGACAAAGAUAUUCUUCAAUCCUGCAUAAUUUUAGAUUUUCGUUUUAUUUUUAUUUUAACAAAAAUUUAAUAAUAUAUAUUCUUAUUAGUGCUCUUGAUGGGUUCUGUAACGUAGCAUGCUAUUUUAAAAUUAGGUGUGAAGAAUGGUGUAUGCCG
rnacentral:lncRNA from 1 species